rnacentral:misc_RNA from 1 species
AGGGACGCUGAGAAGGAGAGCGGCAGCACCACUAACGAUGCUAGCGAGUGCAUAGCAGCGAAAUCCGCAGAGAUAUCAGAAGAAGAAGUGAAUGCCUCUCUUGGAGCAACAAAGUUCACUACUUCGCGAAGGAACAAGCUGAAAAAGAAACUGGCAAUCCAUCUGAACAUCGACUCGAAGAUGCUAAACGACGGCGUUUCAAGGACAGGGAGGAAUUUUAACUCCUCAUGUCGUUUUGAAAUUCUUGAAAAUUUAACGGACCAUUCUCGCUUUUGUACUCUCUGUCGACUAUGAUCUUUUGCAUAGAUCUUUUGUUCGAAAUUCUUCCCAGUUUAGCAGAUCCGUCAAUGGAAAUAAUCACUGAAGAACCAGAACCAGAGCCACAGCCUCGAAAAGUUAAAAAGGAACCAACUUUGCCGCCCAAAAAUCCAAAACCCAAACCAGAACCCCACACACAAGCACGAAAUAAUCCAUUCAUUUUCUGGUUUUACUUCACUCUUUCAGUCUCUCUAAUCACUCUUGCAACUAUCAUUCUCUCUUCUGCCUCUUCCUCGUCAGACCCCAGAUCCUUUUUCUUCUUCCUUUCGACCCCUCUGCGCCAACACUACUCUACAGGCCGUACCAUUGAAGUCCAGCUAGCCCAAAAUCUACCACCCACCGAGAAUUUCGCAGUUGAAAGCAGGUGCAAAGGUUAUGUGACUAAGAAGGUAUUGAUUAUUCAUGGAUUGGGUCUUAGUUCUUUCGUUUAGGAAAUCGAUUGACUUGUUAGGCUCCAAAGAGAUUCAUAGGAUUGUAUUUGAUUUGCCUGGGAAUGGAUUCUCUGAUAAGUCAGUAGAGGUGUCUGAGGAGAGAGGAAAUGGGAUUUUGGAGAGGUUAUUGGAUGCGUAUGGUUUGAUUAAAGAGAAGGGUCUGUUUUGGGUUUUUGAUAACAUGGUUGAAACAG